rnacentral:rRNA from 1 species
GAUGAACGCUGGCGGCGUGCCUAAUACAUGCAAGUCGAGCGAACGGACGAGAAGCUUGCUUUUCUGAUGUUAGCGGCGGACGGGUGAGUAACACGUGGAUAACCUACCUAUAAGACUGGGAUAACUUCGGGAAACCGGAGCUAAUACCGGAUAAUAUUUUGAACCGCAUGGUUCAAAAGUGAAAGACGGUCUUGCUGUCACUUAUAGAUGGAUCCGCGCUGCAUUAGCUAGUUGGUAAGGUAACGGCUUACCAAGGCAACGAUGCAUAGCCGGCCUGAGAGGGUGAUCGGCCACACUGGAACUGAGACACGGUCCAGACUCCUACGGGAGGCAGCAGUAGGGGAUCUUCCGCAAUGGGCGAAAGCCUGACGGAGCAACGCCGCGUGAGUGAUGAAGGUCUUCGGAUCGUAAAACUCUGUUAUUAGGGAAGAACAUAUGUGUAAGUAACUGUGCACAUCUUGACGGUACCUAAUCAGAAAGCCACGGCUAACUACGUG